rnacentral:rRNA from 1 species
AUGGUUAAGUGACUAAGCGUACACGGUGGAUGCCUUGGCAGUCAGAGGCGAUGAAGGACGUAUUAACUUGCGAUAAGCCCAGAUUAGACAGUAAAAGUCAUUUGAGUCUGGGAUUUCCGAAUGGGGAAACCCACUUACAUAAGUAAGUAUCUUGUUGUGAAUACAUAGCAGCAAGAGGCAAACCGGGGGAACUGAAACAUCUAAGUACCCCGAGGAAGAGAAAUCAACCGAGAUUCCGAAAGUAGCGGCGAGCGAAAUUGGAUUAGCCCUUAAGCUUUUAAUGAGACAGACGAAGGCUCUGGAAAGUGCCGCAAUAAAGGGUGAUAGCCCCGUAGUCGACAUCUCAUCAUCAGUGAAAACGAGUAGGGCGGGACACGUGAUAUCCUGUCUGAAUAUGGGGGGACCAUCCUCCAAGGCUAAAUACUACUGACUGACCGAUAGUGAACCAGUACCGUGAGGGAAAGGCGAAAAGAACCCCUGUGAGGGGGAGUGAAAUAGAACCUGAAACCGUGUACGUACAAGCAGUAGGAGCACCUUCGUGGUGUGACUGCGUACCUUUUGUAUAAUGGGUCAGCGACUUAAUUUUAGUAGCAAGGUUAACCGUUUAGGGGAGCCGUAGGGAAACCGAGUCUUAACUGGGCGUACAGUUGCUAGGAUUAGACCCGAAACCAGGUGAUCUAGCCAUGGGCAGGUUGAAGGUUGAGUAACAUCACUGGAGGACCGACCGACUAUGU